AGCAGCCGCGGUAAUUCCAGCUCCAAUAGCGUAUAUUAAAGUUGUUGCAGUUAAAAAGCUCGUAGUUGAAUUUCGGGGUUAGUAGGUUGGUCGUGCCACUGGUAUGUACUGGUUCUACUGAUCCCUUCUUCUUGUAGAACCGUAAUGCCAUUAACUUGGUGUUGCGGGGAAACAGGACUGUUACUUUGAAAAAAAUUAGAGUGUUUAAAGCAGGCUAACGCUUGAAUACAUUAGCAUGGAAUAAUGAAAUAGGACGUUCGAUCCUAUUUUGUUGGUUUCUAGGAUUGACGUAAUGAUUAAUAGGGAUAGUUGGGGGCAUUAGUAUUCAAUUGUCAGAGGUGAAAUUCUUGGAUUUAUUGAAGACUAACUACUGCGAAAGCAUUUGCCAAGGAUGUUUUCAUUUAAUCAAGAACGAAAGUUAGGGAUCGAAGACGAUCAGAUACCGUCGUAGUCUUAACCAUAAACUAUGCCGACUAGGGAUCGGAUGAUGUUAAUUUUUUAAUGUACUCUAUUCGGCGUC
rnacentral:rRNA from 1 species